CCUCAUUCCCCCACCACUCCCAUGUGUUAGCUAGUCUUCUGCUGGUUUUGGUCUUGCACAUGAGCUGCGUGUGAAACUGAUGUAUUAUUAUUCACAAAGUAUCAUACAUUAUAUCAUUACAAAGCUGACCCCACACAUGCAGUGUAUGUACCUUUUUUAAAAGUAAUUUUUUCUUCAUGUUGAGCUUUUUGAAACACACCUGUUGGUUUUUUUUGGUGGCCGUUUGCCACCUUGCCACGACACUAUGAUGAAAGAUUCAGCUGUCAUUUGGCGCCGGGACUGUCAUUUGGCUGGCUGUGUGAAUUCAAGCUCGUGCUGGAUUCCAUUCUUUUACUGCCAGGCGGCUGCGUGAUUUGUGCUGCGGCAGUCUGGACUCGGCAGCUCAGUGCUGUUUCCUGAUAAAGGGGUCAGGCUCAGCCUCACACCCACCGCCGGCCCACGGUGUCACUUAGUAGUCUGUUUCCUGUCAGUCUGCUCCCAGUGAACAACAGGUCGCUCUCCCACCUUUCUUUUUUUCUCCGCCAGGUCUUCCACAGAGCUGGCGAUCCAUUAACUAAACCCCUCGUGCCGCUGUGUCCUCUCUCUCUCUCUCUCUCUUUCUUUCUCUCUCUCUCUAUCUGGGUGAAAACUGCCGGAUGGAUUUUAAACUUGUUGAUUAGUCUGAGUCAACCUCAGAGCCAAAACUCCUGUGGUCACACUCUCUUCAUCAUCUGCAGAGAGACACGAGACCACACGGAGGGGACAACAAAGGUUUAGCAAAAUGGAGACCGCGUCGAAAGUUCAGAUCGGCAGAAGAAAUAACUUUUGUAGGCAAGAGCGGAGUUGGAGAAGCUCUGCGAGACGAAACGGCUUUGAUCGCUGCAUCAAAGAUCAGACUUACAGAGCCUGGAAAGGUUUUCUAAAAACAAAACAAGAAAGAUAAAAGGACUGAGAUUGAGAAAAAGAAAUGAGCUUCUUAUCUUUUUUUUCUUCCAAAGGAUAAUUUAGCCCUGAGAUAUUGUUCUAGUCAAGAUUUCGCCGGCGUUUGAAAGACGUUUAAACAUCAAAUUCUGAAAAAGGGCCGUCUUGAAGAGGAACCACAGCAAGCCGACCAAACUUUACAGUUUCCAAUUAAAAGUUUUCCUCUUUA